CCUACGGGUGGCAGCAGUGGGGAAUAUUGCACAAUGGGGGAAACCCUGAUGCAGCGACGCCGCGUGAGUGAAGAAGUAUUUCGGUAUGUAAAGCUCCAUUAGUAGGGAAGAAAAUGACGGUACCUGACCAAGAAGCCCUGGCCCACUACGUGCCAGCAGCCGUGGUAAUACGUAGGGGGCCAGCGUUAUCCGGAUUUACUGGGUGUAAAGGGAGCGUAGACGGCCAAACAAGUCAGAAGGGAAAGCCCAGGGCUCAACCCUGGGACUGCUUUUGAAACUGCCGGGCUGGAGUGCAGGAGAGGUAAGCGGAAUUCCUAGUGUAGCGGUGAAAUGCGUAGAUAUUAGGAGGAACACCGGUGGCGAAGGCGGCUUACUGGACUGUAACUGACGUUGAGGCUCGAAAGCGUGGGGAGCAAACAGGAUUAGAUACCCCUGUAGUC
rnacentral:rRNA from 1 species